rnacentral:lncRNA from 1 species
CAGGAUGAAGACAUUAUAACUGUAAAAGUCAAAUGUAGGAAUUUGGGUCUAACAUGUUUAUAUAGAUGAGCAUAUUUUAGUUUGGAGGUCAGUUUAUAUGGAAUGGAUCUUCAAGGUCCCUUCCAACCCUAGCCAUUCUAUGAUCAUUUGCCAUCUAUAAGAACAGUGAAUUUGUACUCUAUAGGCACUAUGGCUAGUGGCUUAUCAAAGCCCCACUGGACAGUAAUGCAGUAUUCCAAGUACCAUAGUUCUGAUUUUUCCAGUCACUGUCCUGAUAUCUUCUCUGGGAAUUAUGAUUGCAUAUUGCAGAUAGAGAACAAAUAUUCUUCAAUGCAAGUAACAUAUUUUGAAUUCUUUAAACAGACUUACUGCAUAAGUUCUAUCUAAUUUAAAAUAUCUGUAAAUAGAUUAUCUGCAUUUUUAUUCGAGUUCUGUGUGAGGUGUAUUAUAUUUAUUUUAUAAAAUUUAAUAAAAAU